rnacentral:rRNA from 1 species
AGAACGAACGCUGGCGGCAUGCCUAACACAUGCAAGUCGAACGAGACCUUCGGGUCUAGUGGCGCACGGGUGCGUAACGCGUGGGAAUCUGCCCUUGGGUUCGGGAUAACAGUUGGAAACGACUGCUAAUACCGAAUGAUAUCUUCGGAUCAAAGAUUUAUCGCCCAGGGAUGAGCCCGCGUAGGAUUAGCUUGUUGGUGAGGUAAGAGCUCACCAAGGCGACGAUCCUUAGCUGGUCUGAGAGGAUGAUCAGCCACACUGGGACUGAGACACGGCCCAGACUCCUACGGGAGGCAGCAGUGGGGAAUAUUGGACAAUGGGCGAAAGCCUGAUCCAGCAAUGCCGCGUGAGUGAUGAAGGCCUUAGGGUUGUAAAGCUCUUUACCCGGGAUGAUAAUGACAGUACCGGAGAAUAAGCCCCGGCUAACUCCGCGCCAGCAGCCGC